rnacentral:rRNA from 1 species
AGUGAACGCUGGCGGUAGGCCUAACACAUGCAAGUCGAACGGCAGCACAGUAAGAGCUUGCUCUUACGGGUGGCGAGUGGCGGACGGGCGAGGAAUACAUCGGAAUCUACUUUUUCGUGGGGGAUAACGUAGGGAAACUUACGCUAAUACCGCAUACGACCUACGGGUGAAAGCAGGGGAUCUUCGGACCUUGCGCGAUUGAAUGAGCCGAUGUCGGAUUAGCUAGUUGGCGGGGUAAAGGCCCACCAAGGCGACGAUCCGUAGCUGGUCUGAGAGGAUGAUCAGCCACACUGGAACUGAGACACGGUCCAGACUCCUACGGGAGGCAGCAGUGGGGAAUAUUGGACAAUGGGCGCAAGCCUGAUCCAGCCAUACCGCGUGGGUGAAGAAGGCCUUCGGGUUGUAAAGCCCUUUUGUUGGGAAAGAAAAGCAGCAGGUUAAUACCCCGCUGUUCUGACGGUACCCAAAGAAUAAGCACCGGUUAACUUCGUG